rnacentral:rRNA from 1 species
GACGAACGCUGGCGGCGUGCCUAAUACAUGCAAGUAGAACGCACAGUUUAUACCGUAGCUUGCUACACCAUAGACUGUGAGUUGCGAACGGGUGAGUAACGCGUAGGUAACCUGCCUGGUAGCGGGGGAUAACUAUUGGAAACGAUAGCUAAUACCGCAUAAUAUUAAUUAUUGCAUGAUAAUUAAUUGAAAGGUGCAAUUUCACCACUACCAGAUGGACCUGCGUUGUAUUAGCUAGUAGGUGAGGUAACGGCUCACCUAGGCGACGAUACAUAGCCGACCUGAGAGGGUGAUCGGCCACACUGGGACUGAGACACGGCCAAGACUCCUACGGGAGGCAGCAGUAGGGAAUCUUCGGCAAUGGACGAAAGUCGGAACGAGCAACGCCGCGUGAGUGAAGAAGGUUUUCGGAUCGUAAAGCUCUGUUGUAAGAGAAGAACGGGUGUGAGAGUGGAAAGUUCACACUGUGACGGUAUCUUACCAGAAAGGGACGGCUAACUACGUG